rnacentral:rRNA from 1 species
UACGAAGGGGGGCUAGCGUUGCUCGGAUUGACUGGGCGUAAAGGGCGCGUAGGCGGUUUGUACAGUCAGACGUGAAAUUCCUGGGCUCAACCUGGGGGCUGCGUUUGAUACGUAUGGACUUGAGUUCGGAAGAGGAGAGUGGAAUUCCCGGUGUAGCGGUGAAAUGCGCAGAUAGUCGGGAAGAACACCCGUGGCGAAGGCGGCUCUCUGGGACGGUACUGACGCUGAGACGCGAAAGCGUGGGGAGCGAACAGG